GAAGCUGGAUUCGCUAGUAAUCGCGCAUCAGCCAUGGCGCGGUGAAUACGUUCCCGGGCCUUGUACACACCGCCCGUCAAGCCAUGGAAGCCGGGGGCGCUUGAAGUGCGUUGCCGCAAGGCGCGCCCUAGAGCGAAACCGGUGACUGGGGCUAAGUCGUAACAAGGUAAC
rnacentral:rRNA from 1 species